rnacentral:sRNA from 2 species
AUUGUCUCAGCUUGGGUCAGGAAAAAGCUAGGUAUUACAAACUACAUGUGCUAUUGGCAGGCAUAAGAGCCUGCAGCUGUCGAUCCUAUGGACGUUCAUACAGCUACACUGACAACUUGAAGCCGAAUGGUUGACAGGGGAAUAUAUUCCUCAAAGCAUUUCUAAAUACCUAGCUAAGGAGAUAUAAAAUAGGUAUACAUACAAACACAAGAAAUCCUAAUAUCUUUAAAUAAAAUUUAUGGCAAGGAACACCCUCCAAUAACAAAAAUUUUUUUGUCUAUGCCUUGCUCUUCUUCGUCUUGGACCUUUCUCCCUUACCUGAUUUCCCUGCACCUGGAAGGCUAGCGUUCCCCUUCUCACCUUUUGCCAGUUUCUCCGGGGUAUCUGACACCGCACUCACUUUCUUCGACGUAGAUUUACUUUCUAUCUUCUCCACUUCGCCAGCCUUUUUCGCCUCCUUCACGGUAGUAUCCUUCUUAUCCUUCCUCUCUUUCUUCUCCUUCUUGGACUUGUUUGAAGUAAUCUCCACGUCAGCAACACGUCCAUUGGGCUUCUCUGCUCCGUCUGUCGAGGUUUCAAUGGUAGCACGCUGUUCUUGUUUAUUCGUAGAUUCCUCCAUCCCCACAUCAUCAAUCCUUGCCUGCCCCUCCUUCCCAUCGACAGCAAUAUGAACCUCAUCAACUCCCUUCAAUGCCGGAAUCUCAAACUCGUAGCCAAGCGCCUUCAUCUUCUCCGCUCUCUUAGCUCUUCUCGCGUUUUCCUGUUUAAUCUUCUUAGACCACUUCUCCUUCGUCUUCCCCGCCUCCAUCCGACGCCUCUCAAUGUCGUUCCACGGCGUCCUCUUGAAUCGUUUAUUUGCUCCCUUCCACAAUUGCGGAUGCACACUCUCCUUGGGUAUGUACUUGCAUUUCAAAAUGUGGCCGAACAUGAGGUAGUUGUCCAUCGUGUCAGCGACGACUUUGGCGACGGACGCGGAAGCGAACUCGAGAAACGCGAAGUGCUUGGAUUUGCCUGUAGUGCGGUUGCGGGAGAGGCGUAGUCGGGUGAUGGGGCCG